AUUGAUUUAACAUCAACCUUGAGUCCUGCCCUCCUAAGCCCCUGCGAUAAUUUAAUGUGGUCUUGUUUCUAUGUGGUUUGUUUUGAUGGAUGUAGGCAGAACUCAUCCUCUGGUGAUGACAGUGUGAGGAAUGAUGAUCUUCUUCAGGAACUAAUGUUUCAGGAUCACUUAUCAGACCUGGAUAUGCUCCUGAAUCCGGAUUGCAACCCUUGGCCUGCGCAUAUCCGUGAACAUCUAACAGUCAACUCACAACUAAACGAAAGGAAAACAACACAGUAAACCUAGUGAUUUCAUAAACAGGAGCUGGAGGCUCGUAAGCAGCUGUCUGAAACCUCGUCAUCUCUCACACAAACAGUGCAACAGCUGCAGACAGACAAGCGGUACUGGUCUAAAGGGGAGAAGUGCACGCUGCCACAUCUUUUAGAAAGAGCCAGGAGUUUUAGUGUAAAACACUUCUCAGGCUGAGCUGGUAUGUUUGCGAGCGUCCUGUAAACAUUUCUGUUGCUAAACAAAACCCGAAGAAAAUGGAGAAUCAAGCCCCUAAUCAACGCAGAGAGGUCAUUGUUGGCCUCCUGCUCAUCUUCAUUGUGAAGUAUGACCCGAAUGAUGUUAAGAAACAGCCGAGACUUAACACAAUGUGUUCUCUACUGUUCUUAUCAACAUCAUCAUAACAGCAUUGGGAUUUGAGUCUGGAGGAAGCAGCAUCUGAUAUUGCAGUCCCUCUGAAUAAUAUUUAAGGACUGCUUACAUAUAUUUACACAUAAGAAGUUUUAUUAUUUAUACUUUUACCAAACCUCUGAGUUGCUACCAUUGACUGUAAUUGUCAAAAACUUUUUUCUGCCCUCCUUUUGAUCCGUACAGAUAUCGUCAUGUUUGGUUUUUGAUGUUUUUAUGGAAACCUUCACUUUGAUAAAGCACUCAUAUCUGAGUAAAUGUAUAAUUUGAUGUUCUAACUGAAUUUCCUUAGUUUAAUUUUUUACUGUUUAUUCACUUUAUUGACCGCAAACAAUAAUUAUAAUUAUUUUUAAUUAUAUUUUAUAUGUAAAUAUAGUUAAUAUAUAAACAUAG
ensembl:lncRNA